rnacentral:rRNA from 1 species
GAUGAACGCUGGCGGCGUGCUUAACACAUGCAAGUCGAACGAUGAAGCCCAGCUUGCUGGGUGGAUUAGUGGCGAACGGGUGAGUAACACGUGAGUAACCUGCCCUUAACUCUGGGAUAAGCCUGGGAAACUGGGUCUAAUACCGGAUAGGAGCGUCCACCGCAUGGUGGGUGUUUGGAAGACUCAUCGGUUUUGGAUGGACUCGCGGCCUAUCAGCUUGUUGGUGAGGUAAUGGCUCACCAAGGCGACGACGGGUAGCCGGCCUGAGAGGGUGACCGGCCACACUGGGACUGAGACACGGCCCAGACUCCUACGGGAGGCAGCAGUGGGGAAUAUUGCACAAUGGGCGAAAGCCUGAUGCAGCGACGCCGCGUGAGGGAUGACGGCCUUCGGGUUGUAAACCUCUUUCAGUAGGGAAGAAGCGAAAGUGACGGUACCUGCAGAAGAAGCACCGGCUAACUACGUGCCAGCAGCCGCAGUAA